AUGCAUGUCUAAGUGGAGUAUUAUAUAGCGAAACUGCGAACGGCUCAUUACAACAGAUAUAAUUUACUAGUUCUUGUUUCUAUAUGGAUAACUGCGGUAAUUCUGGAGCCAAAACAUGCAUCAAGCCCUGGCCGUCCGGUUAGGGUGCAAUUAUUGGAGCAAAACCAGUCUCGUACUGUUUGCUAACUCAGGAUAAUUCUGCAUAUCGCAUGGUCUUGUACCGGCGAAGUUUCUUUCAAGUAUCUGCUUUAUCAACUAUCGUUGGUAGUUUAUUGGUCUACCAUGGUGUUGACGGGUAACGGAGAAUCAGGGUUUGACUCCGGAGAGGGAGCCUUAGAAACGGCUACCAUGUCUAAGGAUAGCAGCAGGCGCGAAAAUUACCCAAUAUCAAAACGAUGAGGUAGUGACGAGAAAUAACAAGAUCGUCCUCUUUGAGAUCGAUUAUUGGAAUGAGUACAAUCCAGAAAUUUUAACGAGUACCUACGAGAGGGCAAGUCUGGUGCCAGCAGCCGCGGUAAUUCCAGCUCUCGUAAUGUAUAGAAUUAUUGUUGCGAUUAAAAAGUUCGUAGUUGGAUUGCAACGCAGGUAUGGGUCCAUCCUCUGGGUGCGUACUCAAUGCUUGCAUUUUGCAUGUUUUUGUGGCGUCGCUUCGGUGGCGUUCAUGAUGCAUGCAGGAUUACUUUGAACGGCUCAAGUGCUUAAAGCAAGUCUUAUGACUGAAUACCGGUGCAUGGAAUAAUGGAACAAGGUUGUGGCUGAGUUUUAUUGGUUUUGUCGGCCAAAACAAUGGUUAACAGGAACAGCCGGGGGCAUUCGUAUCGCUGCGCGAGAGGUGAAAUUCGUGGACCGUAGCGAGACGUCCUACAGCGAAGGCAUUUGCCAAGAGUGUUUUCAUUAAUCAAGAACGAAAGUCAGAGGUUCGAAGGCGAUUAGAUACCGCUCUAGUUCUGACCGUAAACGAUGCCAACUGUCGAUCCGCUUGUGGAUUUUAUUCAUGAGCGGGGAGAUUUCCGGAAACGAAAGUUUUUCGGUUUCGGGGGAAGUAUGGUUGCAAAGCUGAAACUUAAAGGAAUUGACGGAAGGGCACCACCAGGAGUGGAGCUUGCGGCUUAAUUUGACUCAACACGGGAAAUCUCACCCGGCCAGUACAUCGUAAGGAUUGACAGACUGACAGCUCUUUCAUGAUUCGGUGAAUGGUGGUGCAUGGCCGUUCUUAGUUCGUGGAUUGAUUUGUCUGGUUUAUUCCGAUAACGAACGAGACUUUAACUAUUAAAUAGUGCGCAUGUUGCUUCGGCUGCGUGUGAUCACUUCUUAAAGGAAUUUGUGGUUUUCAACCUCAAGAAAUUGAGCAAUAACAGGUCUGUGAUGCCCUUAGAUGUUCGGGGCCGCACGCGUGCUACAAUGGUGGUAACAGCGUGAUUGUCCUUUUCCGACAGGAAUUGGCAAACAGUUGAGAUAUUAUUAUGGCUGGAAUUGAGUGUUGAAAUUUUCUCUCAUGAACGAGGAAUUCCAAGUAAAUGUGAGUCAUUAACUUGCAUUGAUUACGUCCCUGCCCUUUGUACACACCGCCCGUCGCUGCCCGGGACUGAGUUACUUCGAGAAAACUAGGGAUCGCUGGAGUUCGAUGUUUCGGCAUUGUCUUUGGUGAGAACUAGUUUAAUCGCAGUGGCUUGAACCGGGCAAAAGUCGUAACAAGGUAGCCGUAGGUGAA
rnacentral:rRNA from 1 species